rnacentral:rRNA from 1 species
AGUGAACGCUGGCGGUAGGCCUAACACAUGCAAGUCGAACGGCAGCACAGUAAGAGCUUGCUCUUACGGGUGGCGAGUGGCGGACGGGUGAGGAAUACAUCGGAAUCUACUUUUUCGUGGGGGAUAAUGUAGGGAAACUUACGCUAAUACCGCAUACGACCUACGGGUGAAAGCAGGGGAUCUUCGGACCUUGCGCGAUUGAAUGAGCCGAUGUCGGAUUAGCUAGUUGGCGGGGUAAAGGCCCACCAAGGCGACGAUCCGUAGCUGGUCUGAGAGGAUGAUCAGCCACACUGGAACUGAGACACGGUCCAGACUCCUACGGGAGGCGGCAGUGGGGAAUAUUGGACAAUGGGCGCAAGCCUGAUCCAGCCAUACCGCGUGGGUGAAGAAGGCCUUCGGGCUGUAAAGCCCUUUUGUUGGGAAAGAAAAGCAGCAGGUUAAUACCCCGCUGUUCUGACGGUACCCAAAGAAUAAGCACCGGCUAACUUCGUG